UGAUUAGAAACCCAUUAGUUGAAAGCUUUGGAUAAUAUAUAUAGUCUUAGAAAACCCUUAUAAUUCUAAAUCUUAUGAUGGAGAAAAUUCUUAUACUGAGACAUCAAGCUGUAACAUCUGUUAACAUCACAAAGAUGUUGUUGUAACUCAUGGAGUCCCCAUAAUGACACCUAAGAUGAGCCAGGCUCAAAAACAGAAUUAGGACUCACAGUCAUGCUGAGAAAAAUGUUCCACUAUGUUUGCCUUAUGAAAUAUAGUAAUAUAAAAGGAUGUGAUGUAAACCAUAUUUCAGGAAGAGAGUAACAAAGAUGUAAAACAAAAAUGGAGUGGUUACACGUCUGAGAUGCGCAUGUCCUUAUAUGUGUGGGAAUGCUAUUAAUGAAGAACACCUUGAAUCAGGAAUGCGUGUGCUCUCCACUUUUUCAUCAACAAGUCUCCGGAAAUUUAACUAGUUUUAGAUAAAGCUUUUCAUGAGAUUUCACAAAGAGCACCACGACAUCCAGGUGUCCCACCACAGGAACAAGACUGAUAAUCAACUACUUGGAAAUAAUGGAAACCAGAACUCUAAGGAACCCACAGAAGGUCAGUUCUCAAAUCACCAGCCACUGGGGAGCAAAUGAGCCAACCUCAAAAUUCACAAGCAGUUACAGUGCUGUGUGUCUCCCAUGUGUACUGGACACUGUGUCGUAUGGGGCUCCUCAUGUUGGGAAGGAGAAGGGACAUCUGAAACUGAAGGAAAGGAAGAUUUUCAAACUCGAGGCUUUUGAUAUUUUUAAAAGUACAAGUGUGAAGAGACAGAAAGUCAUCACAGUACUCCACCCAAGAGAGAACACCUGA
rnacentral:lncRNA from 13 species